rnacentral:rRNA from 1 species
AGAGUUGAUCAGUGGCUCAGGACGAACGCUGCGGCGUGCUUAACACAUGCAAGUCGAACGGAGCUGCAGGAGAGCUUGCUCGAAUACAGCUUAGUGGCGGACGGGUGAGUAACGCGUGAACAAUCUGUCUCAUACAGGGGAAUAACGCAUCGAAAGAUGUGCUAAUACCGCGUAGGACCACGGGGUCGCAUGAUUCUGAGGUGAAAGGCUUCGGCCGGUAUGAGGUGAGUUCGCGUCUGAUUAGAUAGUUGGUGAGGUAACGGCCCACCAAGUCAACGAUCAGUAGCCGACCUGAGAGGGUGAUCGGCCACAUUGGGACUGAGACACGGCCCAGACUCCUACGGGAGGCAGCAGUGGGGAAUAUUGGGCAAUGGGCGAAAGCCCUGACCCAGCAACGCCGCGUGAAGGAAGAAGGUUUUCGGAUCGUAAACUUCUGUCCUAUAUGAAGAUAAUGACGGUAGUAUAGGAGGAAGCCCCGGCUAACUACGUGCCAGCAGCCGC